rnacentral:misc_RNA from 1 species
GAUGAAGAACGUAGCGAAAUGCGAUACUUGGUGUGAAUUGCAGAAUCCCGUGAACCAUCGAGUCUUUGAACGCAAGUUGCGCCUCAAGCCAUUAGGUUGAGGGCACGUCUGCCUGGGCGUCACAUAUCGUUGCCUGAUGCCAGUUUCCUCGUGAUGGGUGACUGUGCAGGGCGAAUGAUGGCUUCCCGUGAGCAUUGUUGCCUCAUGGUUGGUUGAAAAUUGAGUCCUUGGUAGGGAGCGCCGUGAUAGAUGGUGGUUGAGUGACGAACGAGACCCAAUCAUGUGAGACCCCUACGGAAUUUGGCCUUCAUGACCCACAUGCGUCUUUGGAACGCUCAUGACGAGACCUCAGGUCAGGCGGGGCUACCCGCUGAGUUUAAGCAUAUCAAUAAGCGGAGGA